rnacentral:rRNA from 1 species
GAUGAACGCUGGCGGCGUGCCUAAUACAUGCAAGUCGAGCGAACAGACGAGGAGCUUGCUCCUCUGACGUUAGCGGCGGACGGGUGAGUAACACGUGGAUAACCUACCUAUAAGACUGGGAUAACUUCGGGAAACCGGAGCUAAUACCGGAUAAUAUAUUGAACCGCAUGGUUCAAUAGUGAAAGACGGUUUUGCUGUCACUUAUAGAUGGAUCCGCGCCGCAUUAGCUAGAUGGUAAGGUAACGGCUUACCAAGGCAACGAUGCGUAGCCGACCUGAGAGGGUGAUCGGCCACACUGGAACUGAGACACGGUCCAGACUCCUACGGGAGGCAGCAGUAGGGAAUCUUCCGCAAUGGGCGAAAGCUUGACGGAGCAACGCCGCGUGAGUGAUGAAGGUCUUCGGAUCGUAAAACUCUGUUAUUAGGGAAGAACAAAUGUGUAAGUAACUAUGCACGUCUUGACGGUACCUAAUCAGAAAGCCACGGCUAACUACGUG